rnacentral:lncRNA from 14 species
UUUGCCUGCGCUUACCAAGGUGUGAUAAUAAAGGAGUUUUACCCAGAGAAGUCUGAAGACACACAUGCAAGAUUUGCAGGAGGGAAAGAGAGUCCCCCUGCCCUUUGCUGUUGUAUGAGCUGGUGACUUGGGUAUCAAUACAAGUGACUGGGCCACCACCCAAGCGGCAGCAUCCUCUUCCCUGCAAGGAAAAAGGAGGAUUCCCACCCCAUCUUAUCUUGACUGGCUCUUUGCUCCCUUCGUUCGCUCCUAAGUAUGCUUGGAGUGGUGUUCAUUUGACAGAAUCCAUGUGGCUCUGCUUCAUCUUGCCAUCUAAUAGACCUGCAGCUCACUGGGGCAUCAGCAAUGGAGAAACACCACAAAAGGAGGAAACGUGAUGCCACAAAACCCUCUGUAUUUUCCAAUGCAUUGCAAGUAUGCAAACACCUGUGGUAAUCUAUUAAAGGGGACAUGGAAGGGUGAGUGUCCUUGUGCUCUGCUUUGCUGUUAAGUGAUAAAAAGGCCAAAGAGAUUGCAAGUUCUGUUGUUGUCCCUUUGUCCUUCCAAGGUUUUCCCCCAUAUCUGACACAGUUCAGAUUUUCUCCAGCCCAGCUCUGAUGGAGGGCUCCAGGGAAGAUGGCUGUUUAGAGGGAUUAGGAAUCUUAAAGAACCUGGACUAUGGAAGUAAGAGUAACUGAAUUUGUUUUCUUUACUUCUUUACAUUGCCUACAGGGAAAAUCCUCAGCUUCAACUCACAUGACCCAUUUCCCUGACAUUGAGGUCAGUUUACUGAUUUCAUCACCCCUUUAAGAUGAAUGAAGAGUGAAAGGAAAAAUACUGGAUGUGACAGAGACUCGGCAGUGGCGCUGGCUCCCUCCCCAGAGCGUGCUCACACCUCGGGGGGCUUUGCGGGCCUCCACGGGAACCUGCGUCCUCGUAAAAAGAGGGGUGUGAGGAGAACUAAGCCCCCAGGAAGCAAGAAACCCCCUUUUAUGGGAAACAGGGGAUGUCCCCAAAGUGAGGACACCAUUUUAUGUGUUUAUUUAUUUAAUAAGUAAAUAAAACUGCC